UACCAAGAAUGCUUUUGAUAUCAACUAAUAUAAACGCCUGGUCUAACAACAGGGAGAAGUCAGUACGGUUUUAAUGGUUUGGUCAAUUCAUAUUCUGGUAGGGACAAGACAAAUGAUAUUUUCUCCAGUCAUUUUUUAAAAUUUAGGGUCACUGUCAAGUAUUAAUUUAAUUAUUUUUAGUUGCACUUCCUUAAUAUAGGUUCUUCGUGUUUGCUAUGAAUGUAAAAAAAAUACCAGUUUGGGCAAAUUUCCUCUGUACUCAUUUAGCAUGAGUAACCUCCUUUUUCCUGAGCUGAUGUACAGAUUGCAUGGCAGCCCAAAAGAAGUCCAGUUGCUAAUGAGCUUUAGCUAUUCCAGGGAAUUUGACCCAAGGAAUGGAAUAUUAUGUUGUGGAAUUACAAAAUUCCAACUCCAGAGUAAACAUGUCUGGAACCUGGCAUCAUGUACAGAGCCACCUUAUAAUAUUGUUUCUCAUGAUCAUUUGUCCACUGUGGGGUGAGGAAGAAGAAAAUGAAUGUCUGUUGACUCCCAUCAAGACAUCUCCUGCUCUUAGUACGCAGGAUACUGGCAGCUGCACCAAAGAAGUAUUUUGUGCUAAAUAUAAAAGUGAUAGAUGACAAGAUGGGAAACUGUUAAUUACAGAAACAGGAGUAGCAAACAGGGGAGUUUUGCAAGGGAGUUCUCCAGAUGAAAGAGGAGCGGCUACAUGACCCUUGGGGUGAGUGUGUUGUCUGUUUGUUUGUUGUGUGUUUGCUGCUGGACUAUAGUAUAUAACGUAGUCUGUUUACAGGGGACUGAGUUUAGUGGCCUGCUAGGCAAGGCUGAGAGCUUCUUAACAAGGCCUUGAUCCCUAAUCCCUUUAGGAUCCAUUAACUAUUAACCAGGGGCAGGGCUAUUCAGGAAGAACAAGGGUUUAAAAAGCCAGCUCCUAAGUGACCAGAGGAGCUAGUGAACAGGAGCAGGAAACUGAGUGUUUUGCGAGGAAGUUUAGAGAGGGAGCCAGCUACAUUCUCUAAAUGUCUGGGAACGGCGAACUGCGGCCACUGGGAGCUGUGAGUGGCCGUACCUGCGGACACUCAGACUAACACUGCUGCCACUCUGCAACCUGCCAUCAGGAAACUCUGUGUAAGCCUGGAACUGAGCAUCAGGAAGUUUUUCCCUCUGGAUCCCUGGGCUCCAGGGGAGAAGAGGACGGGUGUCUGGGGAACAGUGGGGUGAGCCCGGAUUGUCUUGUGGCCUGCAGGAUUAUUUUUUGUUUGCCUUUUUUGUUUUGGACUGCUGUUAUGCUCAGAAGAGAGGGAGCUGUGUUUCUAGGACUUACUGCAGGAGGAACACAUCCUGGACUCCAAACUGGCACUACAGUGAUGUCUACAUACAAGGAAGGAUGUCUGGGAUGAGAGAGGUUCCUAGGGUUCCAGGUAACACCUUUCCCAGAAUGACAUUAUCAUGUAAAUGAAGAGUCAUCUUCUGGACUAAGUACAACAGUAUCAGACUCACUGAGGGAAGGAAGGGCACCUAAGAGAUCAUUUAGUGUCAGUGAAAGCCUUCAGAAUUUGAGGUCAAAGCAACAGAGGAUCAGAGAUGCAUGGAGAUGCAUAAGGACUCCUCCAGGUGACUGGAAAAGCACAAGAAGUCUGAGGAGAACUGAAGAAAGGAGGACAAGGAGAUGGAGGAGAAGCUGCAGGCUAGCAUCUCAUGCAUGAUCAUGAGAUGAAGGAGUGAGAUAUGGCAUUUCAGAGGACAUUAUUUGGGCUCAUGAGCCAUGAGGGCAAAUCCAUAGUGUGCAUAAGCACCAUGACUCUACUUCAGGGUUGCCGUGUCCUACAGCCUAUGAACCGAAUGCCUGAAGGAACCAAUCAAUGAGCCAUGGAACCUCAGACCAUCAUCAGAUCUGUGCACUCUACACCUGUUCCAAUUCAGGGGAAAGAGAACAGAUAAACUAAUGUUUAGUUUUCUUAUUAGUGACAAGUUUUUGUUAUGUCUUAUGUUUGCAUGUUUGAACCACAUUAGGGCAGUGGGUUUGCCCACAUUUUUAGCAUGAAUCAAUUUCAAUAAAA